CACGCUCCUCGCAUGUGCUGUCCGGCUGGAGAAGCUGUUGCCACUGCAACCUAAACAGGAGUGGAACUGCCAAAGCUGCCCUGGACUGGCCUGAUUCCACAGGAUUUGGGGGCAUUAAUUUCACCACUGGUGCUUCCCCAAGGUCAACGCACCUGGGUCCCCUACUGGGCCCUUGGAUUAAUUUCCAAAGUUAAAAAAAGAAAACAAGAAGCACAGAAAACAAUAGAACACACAGUGAAGCACUCACAUUCUCAAGCUACCAAGUAUUCUUGUCUUCUCUUUUUUUGUUCUAUUUUUAAUAAACUAAAAAACUUUUUUCAAGUAAAAAUAAAAAUUUUUUUAAAG
ensembl:lncRNA